GCCCAUUAUAUUAUUAUAGCUCAGUUGGUAUAGCAUUUGACUCCUAAUCUCAGGGUCUUGGGUUCGAGUGCCACGUUGGGCA